UACGGGGGGGACAAGCGUUGUUCGGAAUUACUGGGCGUAAAGGGCUCGUAGGCGGCCAACUAAGUCGGACGUGAAAUCCCCAGGCUCAACCUGGGAACUGCGUCCGAUACUGGAUGGCUUGAAUUCGGGAGAGGGAUGCAGAAUUCCAGGUGUAGCGGUGAAAUGCGUAGAUAUCUGGAGGAAUACCGGUGGCGAAGGCGGCAUCCUGGACCGACAUUGACGCUGAGGAGCGAAAGCUAGGGGAGCAAACGGG
rnacentral:rRNA from 1 species